rnacentral:rRNA from 1 species
AACUUUCAACAACGGAUCUCUUGGUUCUCGCAUCGAUGAAGAACGUAGCGAAUUGCGAUAAGUAAUGUGAAUUGCAGAUACUCGUGAAUCAUUGAAUUUUUGAACGCACAUUGCGUCCCCUCAGGUAUUCCUGGGGGCAUGCCUGUUUGAGCGUCAUUUCCUUCUCAAAA